GGGGGUGUCAGUUUCGACACAAGAAAUGUGUUGUUCGUGGCACGCAGAGUUCUUGCUACUCUCUAAACUUGCAAGAAAAUUUAAGUGCAGACUCAAUUGUCGCACGGGCAAAGUCAAUUGCUCAUGUCGGAGCCAAACUUAGAGCUUUGAUCUUCGGAUGUUUUGUCUGAUUUUUAGUCCGAGGGUCGAGAACCAAAAUCAGUCUAGGCAUGCUAGAUUUGUUCAACACCUCCUUAUGGACGCGGGCUCAUUCCCGCCACCUCCACCA
rnacentral:tmRNA from 1 species